rnacentral:rRNA from 1 species
UACGUAGGGUGCGAGCGUUAAUCGGAAUUACUGGGCGUAAAGCGUGCGCAGGCGGUUAUGUAAGACAGAUGUGAAAUCCCCGGGCUCAACCUGGGAACUGCAUUUGUGACUGCAUAGCUAGAGUACGGUAGAGGGGGAUGGAAUUCCGCGUGUAGCAGUGAAAUGCGUAGAUAUGCGGAGGAACACCGAUGGCGAAGGCAAUCCCCUGGACCUGUACUGACGCUCAUGCACGAAAGCGUGGGGGAGCAAACAGG